rnacentral:rRNA from 1 species
AAACCUGAGAGUUUGAUCCUGGCUCAGAGCGAACGCUGGCGGCAGGCCUAAAACAUGCAAGUCGAACGAUCCUUCGGGAUAGUGGCGGACGGGUGAGUAACACGUGGGAACGUGCCCUUUGGUUCGGAACAAGCCGGGGAAACCUGGUCUAAUGCCGAAUGUGCCCUACGGGGGAAAGAUUUAUCGCCAUUGGAGCGGCCCGCGUCUGAUUAGCUUGUUGGUGAGGUAAAGGCUCACCAAGGCUACGAUCAGUAGCUGGUCUGAGAGGAUGAUCAGCCACACUGGGACUGAGACACGGCCCAGACUCCUACGGGAGGCAGCAGUUAGGAAUCUUGCGCAAUGGGCGAAAGCCUGACGCAGCCAUGCCGCGUGAAUGAUGAAGGUCUUAGGAUUGUAAAAUUCUUUCAGCGGGGAAGAUAAUGACGGUACCCGCAGAAGAAGCUCCGGCUAACUUCGUGCGAGCAGCCGCGGUAAUACGAACGGGGCUAGCGUUGCUCGGAAUUACUGGGCGUAAAGGGCGCGUAGGCGGACAGUUUAGUCGGGGGUGAAAUCCCAGGGCUCAACC